CUGGUGGCGAGUGGCGAACGGGUGAGUAAUACAUCGGAACGUGUCCUUUCGUGGGGGAUAACCAGUCGAAAGACUGGCUAAUACCGCAUGAGAUCUCACGAUGAAAGCGAGGGACCGCAAGGCCUCGCGCGAUUGGAGCGGCCGAUGUCGGAUUAGCUAGUUGGCGGGGUAAAAGCCCACCAAGGCGACGAUCCGUAGCUGGUUUGAGAGAACGACCAGCCACACUGGGACUGAGACACGGCCCAGACUCCUACGGGAGGCAGCAGUGGGGAAUUUUGGACAAUGGGCGCAAGCCUGAUCCAGCCAUGCCGCGUGUGUGAAGAAGGCCUUCGGGUUGUAAAGCACUUUCGGCCGGAACGAAAUCGCCUCCGUUAAUAGCGGGGGUGGAUGACGGUACCGGAAGAAGAAGCACCGGCUAACUACGUGCCAGCAGCCGCGGUAAUACGUAGGGUGCGAGCGUUAAUCGGAAUUACUGGGCGUAAAGGGUGCGCAGGCGGUUCCGCAAGUCAGGCGUGAAAUCCCCGGGCUUAACCUGGGAAUGGCGCUUGAAACUACGGGACUGGAGUAUGGCAGAGGGAGGUGGAAUUCCACGUGUAGCGGUGAAAUGCGUAGAGAUGUGGAGGAACACCGAUGGCGAAGGCAGCCUCCUGGGCCAAUACUGACGCUCAUGCACGAAAGCG
rnacentral:rRNA from 1 species